AUGACCCUGGGGUUAAUCAUGGUGUCCUUACUAGCUGUGCUCAGAGGUGCCCAAUCUGAAGUUCAGUUGACUGAGUCUGGUGGGGAUGUGAGGAGACCUGGAGAGUCCCUCCAUCUCAUCUGUCAAGCAGCUGGCUUCACCUUCAGUGAUUACAGCAUGCAUUGGAUGAGACAGGCUCGUGGGAAAGGGCUGGUAUGGGUGGCACACAUACGCUAUGAUUCUACAUCUUUUCACUAUUCUGAUGAAGUCAAGAGUCGCUUCACCAUAUCCAAGGACAAUGCCAAAGACCAGCUGCAUCUGCAAAUGAACAGCCUAAAGCAUGAAGACACAGCUGUCUACUACUGUGCAAGAGGCACAGUGAGAGGAAGUGCUUCUGAAAGUGCUUCUGAAAGUUCUUCUUGGGGGAUGCCAAGCUGA